UACGUAGGCAGCGAGCGUUGUUCGGAGUUACUGGGCGUAAAGCGUGCGUAGGCGGUGCCAUAAGUCUGUUGUGAAAUCUCCCGGCUUAACUGGGAGGGGGCGGUGGAAACUGUGGUGCUGGAGUGUGGGAGAGGUAGGCGGAAUUCCUGGUGUAGCGGUGAAAUGCGUAGAUAUCAGGAGGAACACCUGUGGUGUAGACGGCUUACUGGACCAUGACUGACGCUGAGGCACGAAAGCGUGGGGAGCAAACAGG
rnacentral:rRNA from 1 species